ACGGAAGGCAGCAGUGGGGAAUAUUGCACAAUGGGCGAAAGCCUGAUGCAGCGACGCCGCGUGAGUGAAGAAGUAUCUCGGUAUGUAAAGCUCUAUCAGCAGGGAAGAAAAUGACGGUACCUGACAAAGAAGCCCCGGCUAACUACGUGCCAGCAGCCGCGGUAAUACGUAGGGGGCAAGCGUUAUCCGGAUUUACUGGGUGUAAAGGGAGCGUAGACGGUUUGGCAAGUCUGAAGUGAAAUGCGGGGGCUCAACUCCUGAACUGCUUUGGAAACUGUCGAACUAGAGUGCAGGAGAGGUAAGUGGAAUUCCUAGUGUAGCGGUGAAAUGCGUAGAUAUUAGGAGGAACACCAGUGGCGAAGGCGGCUUACUGGACUGUAACUGACGUUGAGGCUCGAAAGCGUGGGGAGCAAACAGGAUUAGAUACCCUGGUA
rnacentral:rRNA from 1 species